CGCUGGACCGUGCACAAGUCUCCUGGAAUGGAGCGUCAUAGAGGGUGAGAAUCCCGUCUUUGGCACGGAUACCCCAGGGCUUCUGUGAUGCGCUCUCGAAGAGUCGAGUUGUUUGGGAAUGCAGCUCAAAAUGGGUGGUGAACUCCAUCUAAAGCUAAAUAUUGGCGAGAGACCGAUAGCGAACAAGUACCGUGAGGGAAAGAUGAAAAGCACUUUGGAAAGAGAGUGAAACAGUACGUGAAAUUGUUGAAAGGGAAACGCUUGAAGUCAGUCGCGUCGACCAAGACUCAGCCUUGCCUUGGCUUGGUGUAUUUCUUGGCUUGACGGGUCAGCAUCAAUUUCUUCUCUCGGAUAAUGGCAAGAGAAAGGUGGCACCUUUACGGGUGUGUUAUAGUCUCUUGUCGCAUGCGAGGGUCGGGAUUGAGGAACUCAGCACGCACCUUCUAGGUGUCGGGGCUUCGGCUCACGCUACGUGCUUAGGAUGCUGGCGUAAUGGCUUUAAACGACCCGUCUUGAAACACGGACCAAGGAGUCUAACAUGCCCGCGAGUGUUCGGGUGGAAAACCCGUGUGCGUAAUGAAAGUAAAAGUUGGGACCUCUGUCGUANAGGGCACCGACGCCCGGACCAGACCUUCUGUGACGGAUCUGCGGUGGAGCGUGCAUGUUGGGACCCGAAAGAUGGUGAACUAUGCCUGAAUAGGGUGAAGCCAGAGGAAACUCUGGUGGA
rnacentral:rRNA from 1 species